rnacentral:rRNA from 1 species
GACGAACGCUGGCGGCGUGCUUAACACAUGCAAGUCGAACGGAAAGGCCCUGCUUUUGUGGGGUGCUCGAGUGGCGAACGGGUGAGUAACACGUGAGUAACCUGCCCUUGACUUUGGGAUAACUUCAGGAAACUGGGGCUCAUACCGGAUAGGAGCUCCUGCUGCAUGGUGGGGGUUGGAAAGUUUCGGCGGUUGGGGAUGGACUCGCGGCUUAUCAGCUUGUUGGUGGGGUAGUGGCUUACCAAGGCUUUGACGGGUAGCCGGCCUGAGAGGGUGACCGGCCACAUUGGGACUGAGAUAGGGCCCAGACUGAUACGGGAGGCAGCAGUGGGGAAUAUUGCACAAUGGGCGGAAGCCUGAUGGAGCAACGCCGGGUGCGGGAUGACGGCCUUCGGGUUGUAAACCGCUUUCGCCUGUGACGAAGCGUGAGUGACGGUAAUGGGUAAAGAAGCACCGGCUAACUACGU